CAAUACCUGUAGUUAAGGUGUUAGGUGUUCUCCUCGAUUUGCUUCAUUAAUUGCUCAAAUCGUUUUGCUUUUUGGUCUGCUGAAUGGCUAUAACCUUCAUAUAUUAUGAAUUACAAUGCAUCACCCUUGGUUACUAUUUCUGUAAUUGUUCACAUAGCUGUAUUCCAGACCUGAUUUGUUUCUCCCCUUUUCAGAGUUUCACUGUCUAUAUGCUAUGACGUAUCCUCUAUUUUCCCACUUCGGCCACAUGAUAACAUACUUGUUCUUUUUUUUCUAGAAAAUUAUGUUGGGAUCCCAAAGAUAAGUCACCUGGAUGCAUUGCUUAAAUGAGUGCUUAAGUUUGCUACCAGAGCAAUCAUUAAGGUAAGCAGCAUAAGAGCAGCAUGCCCUGGUCACCAGAUAUUGACAACUUUUAGUGAACCUUGGUCACCAGCCUAGGAGCAGUUUGCUGAAGCUGAGAGGAAAGAAAGUAGCUAGGAGGUAUUUGUAUUGCCAUUUAUUCUAGAGCAACCAUCACAUUUUGAUUGGUUAGGUGGAUGCUCUAUGUAAUUGCUUUCAAUUUAAUAGACUGUAAUCAAAAUUUUUGUGUACUGUGAACCAUUUAUCUUAUGUAUUUCGAUCAUGAGAAGUCUUACGUAAGGUCAAUUUUCAGACCA